rnacentral:pre_miRNA from 1 species
GAAUUACUCCCUCCGUUCCGAAUUACUUGUCGCACGUAUGGAUGUAUCUAGAUGUAUUUUAGUUUUAGAUACAUCCAUUUCUGCGACGAGUAAUUUGGAACAGAGGGAGUACUUG